GACAGAGGGUGCAAACGUUGUUCGGAUUUACUGGGCGUAAAGCGUGUGUAGGCGGCUUCGCAAGUUGGAUGUGAAAUCCCUCGGCUCAACCGAGGAACGGCGCUUGAUACUGCAUGGCUUGAGGGAGACAGGGGUAAGCGGAACUGAUGGUGGAGCGGUGAAAUGCGUUGAUAUCAUCAGGAACACCGGUGGCGAAAGCGGCUUACUGGGUCUCUUCUGACGCUGAGGAACGAAAGCUAGGGUAGCGAACGGG
rnacentral:rRNA from 1 species